UUGAGAAGCUGAUAGCAGGGACCUGACUGCCCUUAAAUUUCCUGUGUUAAUGAUGUUUUUUGUGAAUCCUUUACGUGUAUCGUUUAUGUUUUUAUAAAAUCAUUUCCGUUAAUGUACAUACUUAUAUAUAUUUUUAUUCCGACAUUCAGGGAAAACAUUAUUAUAAAAUACAUCAAAUCAAGGCAUAUUCCAUGACCAGGGUUAACCUGGUAUGGCUGAGACAAUGCCACCAUUUUACCAAUAUGGAUUUACUCAUAGAGAUCCCAUCUCAAGAUCAGGAUCAGCUAACACAGCAGCACCUACAGGGACCAUUGAAAAGCUGUCAUCUUGAAGUUAUAGGGGAAUUUAAAGCACAGAUCUGGGCCUCCAGGUGCAGGAGAGUAUUCCAGCGUACGUGAGAAGACUCUAGCGAAAUCUUGAAAAGGGUUAGGAAAGCCGUCCGCCUACAUCUGAGAGCUGAUGUUUAUGCCUUAACAAAGAGGAUUUCUCAAAAAAUGGAACAUGGAAAACUCCUCUAUCUUUCAAAAUCUUGGCGAUGACCUCGACCUCAACUUUUAACACCAGUGGCCGCUCUAGCUACAAAUCCAUGUCAUCUUGGAAGUUCGGACGGGAGAGAAGGACUGCGGCGGGCCAACUCCACUUCUGGAGACUAAUAGUGUGAUGCAAUGUUCUUUUAGUGUUGUGCGUGAUUACGAACUCGGGUUCUGUGCCUUUCUUUGCAUAUGGACCGAAAGUAACACGGUGGCUUUAUCCAGCGCUAACAAUCAUGCAUUCAAUCUACGUGUUUGUGUUAAGUGUUUUCCUCUUUUCAGUUUAUUCCAGUUCCUCUUGUUAGCCAGGGAGAACGAGCAUUUAAACAACACCAGCCUCAUCAAACCGGGUCUCGAAAGAGGUUUCAAAACUAAAGCUGAUAGAGAAAUGAGAAAACCUAAUGGAUGGCUACCCCAAAUACAGUUUAUCUUUUUGGAAUAAACCUGAAUCUUGGAAUCAGUGAUCUUCGACUCUUCAUUGGUUCUGACUGUGAAACAUCUUUUUCUUUUCCAUAUUUGUUGUUUGAAAACUACCUUUAAAUCAGCUUGUGGAUACGUUUUACGAAAACAUCUAUAUAAUUGAUUCUUCACAUCCAAUAAAGGAUUGCUUGUAUAUGACAAAAUUAUACUUAUUGUUUGUUUUGGAACAUUAAUUGUAGUUGUUUAACAUUGUUGACUUUAUCCAGAUAGGUAGAAAUUAUAUUGUCUAUCAUAGUAUUUGAAAAACCAUUUUUAUUAAAAAAUAUUUUCAUAUCAUUCAGUCUUUAUAAAAAUAUUCAUACAUGCUAACUAUUUUAUAAGCACGAUGAACUAUUUUAACAAAUUUGUCCUAUACAAAUCUGGAAUUCAAUUAUUUAAAUUAUAAUAUAAGCUCGUAAGUUAUCAGAGUUUUAUGUAUAUGU